rnacentral:rRNA from 1 species
UACGAAGGGGGCUAGCGUUGCUCGGAAUCACUGGGCGUAAAGCGCACGUAGGCGGCUUCUUAAGUCAGGGGUGAAAUCCUGGAGCUCAACUCUGGAACUGCCUUUGAUACUGUCGAUCUAGAGUAUGGAAGAGGUGAGUGGAAUUCCGAGUGUAGAGGUGAAAUUCGUAGAUAUUCGGAGGAACACCAGUGGCGAAGGCGGCUCACUGGUCCAUUACUGACGCUGAGACGCGAAAGCGUGGGGAGCAAACAGG